AUUGAACGCUGGCGGCCGGCCUAACACAUGCAAGUCGAGCGGAGCGGCUGUCGGGUGAGUAAUUCCUAGUCAUCUGCCUGGUAGUGGGGGCUAACGUCCGGAAACGGGCGCUAAUACCGCAUACUAUCAGAUGAGCCUAGGUCGGAUUCGCCAGGUGGUGGGGUCAAGGCCUACCAGGGCGACGAUCCGUAACUGGUCUGAGAGGAUGAUCAUUCACACUGGAACUGCAACCCGGUCCAGACUCCUACGAGAGGCAGCAGUGGGGAAUAGUGGACGAUGGGCGAAAGCCUUAUCCAGCCAUGCCGCGUGUGUGAAGAAGGUCUUCGGAUUGUAAAGCACUUUAAGUUGGGAGGCGUUUCCAACAGGAUACGCACCGGCUUACUUCGUGCCAGCAGCCGCGGUAAUAC
rnacentral:rRNA from 1 species